rnacentral:rRNA from 1 species
UACGGGGGGAGCAAGCGUUGUUCGGAUUUACUGGGCGUAAAGGGCGCGUAGGCGGCCAGCACAAGUCAGUUGUGAAAUCUCCGGGCUUAACUCGGAAAGGUCAACUGAUACUGUGAGGCUAGAGUGCAGAAGGGGCAACUGGAAUUCUCGGUGUAGCGGUGGAAUGCGUAGAUAUCGAGAGGAACACCUGCGGCGAAGGCGGCAUUCUGGACCAUAACUGACACUGAGAGACGAAAGCCAGGGGAGCAAACGGG